UGUAACAGAACUAUGCUUUUGCCUAUGCUUUUUGCCUGGACUUAUAUAUCAAUGCCGCUGGAUGUAUUACAAAAACCGAAUGACUAUUUCGUGGAAAUAUCCUUACCGGAGAAUACAGCUCAAAAUACCGAACAUCGGACCACCCAGGGGAACAGUUAAGUGGUAUUUUACCUCCCAGCGCUUUUGGAGCCGUUCGCAUGGUUUCACACGAAUUCCUUUGUGCUCAGGUUAGAUGGCCGCCAUUUCGGGACUCUACAC